rnacentral:tRNA from 1 species
AGAGGAGUGGCAGAGUGGUCGAUCGCGGCGGUCUUGAAAACCGUUGACCUGCGAGGGUCCGGGGGUUCGAAUCCCUCCUCCUCUG